rnacentral:rRNA from 1 species
UACGAAGGGGGCUAGCGUUGCUCGGAAUCACUGGGCGUAAAGCGCACGUAGGCGGCUUUCUAAGUCAGGGGUGAAAUCCUGGAGCUCAACUCCAGAACUGCCUUUGAUACUGGAGAGCUUGAGUCCGGAAGAGGUGAGUGGAACUCCGAGUGUAGAGGUGAAAUUCGUAGAUAUUCGGAAGAACACCAGUGGCGAAGGCGGCUCACUGGUCCGGUACUGACGCUGAUGUGCGAAAAGCGUGGGGAGCAAACAGG